GACGAACGCUGGCGGCGCGCUUAACACAUGCAAGUCGAACGGAAAGGCCUGCUUUCCCUUGUGGAUUGCGGGUACUCGAGUGGCGAACGGGUGAGUAACACGUGAGUGAUCUGCCCCCAACUUGGGUAUAAGCCUGGGAAACUGGGUCUAAUUCCCGAUAGGACUGCAGGGUGGUGCCUGUGGUGGAAAACGAUUUUCUAGUGGUUGGGGAUGAGCUCGCGGCCUAUCAGCUUGUUGGUGGGGUAAUGGCCUACCAAGGCGGCGACGGGUAGCCGGCCUGGGAGGGUGGACGGACACAUUGGGACUGAGAUACGGCCCAGACUCCUACGGGAGGCAGCAGUGGGGAAUAUUGCACAAUGGGCGGAAGCCGGAUGCAGCGACGCCGCGUGGGGGAUGACGGCCUUCGGGUUGUAAACUCCUUUCGACCGCGAGGAAGCCACCUGGUUGGAAGGGUGGUGACGGUAGUGGUAGAAGAAGCACCGGCUAACUACGU
rnacentral:rRNA from 1 species